GCUGGCUGGAAAGGUUGGCGGUGCCGCUUGUCCGAGAAGAGGUUACCUCAGAGCUAGUGUUGUGAACCCUGGGGAAAAGCCACUUGGGAAUACGGUUUCAAUGCCUUUUAAAAUGGGGCCUGCGUGUGUGGAAAGCACUUCAGAGAAAGAAAGUGGUUUCUCAGCAAGCUAGAAAGUCAGGGAGCGGGGAAGCAGGGGAAGACUUUAAGUAGCCCACAGGGUAGGAAUGCGCUUUGUGGUCAGUCUGUUCCACAAGACCCAAGGAGCAGCUUCCAAGCUUUCCCAGAGCAGCAAAGCCUCUGUCUGCUAGUAAUUCGGGCCCUAUAGGGACAAUGAUCAUGUCUUAAGGAAUUUCUGUGUCAGUUGCUGUAUUUAUGUGGUCUGGCUCAUCUGGUCCCCAUAACACCCCAUGAGAAUAUUUACAUAAAUCAGUUCCUUAAAGACUACUGGACCAUCUGUUAUGGGAAAGCUGCUGCCCUGGUUACUUACAUAAACUUAACUACCUCCUCAAAGAAGCAUUCCUUGAAAACCUCCAUUAUAAGGUCCAGUUCUGGUGGUGAUGAGCAGAAGAACUGACAAGUUGUCCUUCGAAAGCAAAUAUGCAAUAGAAGAGAGCAGUCUCAACGAGGACAUCAAGGCUCAGAGAUCCAUACUUUAAACUCAGCCUGGUAAUAAAAGGCAACGGUGCAAGCCCCACUCGAGCACGCUCGGCUAUCAUAUGGAAAAAACAAAAACACCACGUUUGCCUUCUUAUAUACACAGGACCCACCGCACUUUCUGAGAUUGACUUGCUGUCUUUGGCAUCAGUGGCCCUUGGUGAAGUGUGAGUUUCUGAUGCUUGUUUUUCCUUUCUACUUGUAUCAU